AUUGUUUAGUGCUAAGGCUUGACUUGAUUUGCUUGAAUUGUCUGUCCCUCAGGUACAAUGAGUACUGCUCCUCAUUCCUCUUUGGCCUCUGAAGUUGAGGGUGCUGCCUGGGGGAACACUUCCUGAAAACUGCAAUAGAAGAUCCGUGGGAGCUUGAUGAUGAUGAUGAGGAGGAGGAGGAGGAGGAGGAGGCGGAGGAGGAGGGUGAGGAGGACGAAGAUGAAGAGGAUGUCAAUGAAUCUGUACAUUAAUUUAGAGGUGACUGAGCUCUAAAAGUGAUAAUGGGACAUUAAACAUCUCCCAGUUUAUUCCACACA